rnacentral:rRNA from 1 species
AUUGAACGCUGGCGGCAGGCCUAACACAUGCAAGUCGAACGGUAACAGGAAACAGCUUGCUGUUUCGCUGACGAGUGGCGGACGGGUGAGUAAUGUCUGGGAAACUGCCUGAUGGAGGGGGAUAACUACUGGAAACGGUAGCUAAUACCGCAUAACGUCGCAAGACCAAAGAGGGGGACCCUCGGGCCUCUUGCCAUCGGAUGUGCCCAGAUGGGAUUAGCUUGUUGGUGGGGUAACGGCUCACCAAGGCGACGAUCCCUAGCUGGUCUGAGAGGAUGACCAGCCACACUGGAACUGAGACACGGUCCAGACGCCUACGGGAGGCAGCAGUGGGGAAUAUUGCACAAUGGGGGCAAGCCUGAUGCAGCCAUGCCGCGUGUAUGAAGAAGGCCUUCGGGUUGUAAAGUACUUUCAGCGGGGAGGAAGGGAGUAAAGUUAAUACCUUUGCUCAUUGACGUUACCCGCAGAAGAAGCACCGGCUAACUCCGUG